GUGGGGAAUAUUGCACAAUGGGCGAAAGCCUGAUGCAGCAACGCCGCGUGAGGGACGACAGCCUUCGGGUUGUAAACCUCUUUUAGUAGGGAAGAAGCGAAAGUGACGGUACCUGCAGAAAAAGCACCGGCUAACUACGUGCCAGCAGCCGCGGUAAUACGUAGGGUGCAAGCGUUAUCCGGAAUUAUUGGGCGUAAAGAGCUCGUAGGCGGUCUGUCGCGUCUGCUGUGAAAACUGGAGGCUCAACCUCCAGCCUGCAGUGGGUACGGGCAGACUAGAGUGCGGUAGGGGAGAUUGGAAUUCCUGGUGUAGCGGUGGAAUGCGCAGAUAUCAGGAGGAACGCCGAUGGCGAAGGCAGAUCUCUGGGCCGUAACUGACGCUGAGGAGCGAAAGCGUGGGGAGCGAACAGGAUUAGAAACCCGGGUAGUCC
rnacentral:rRNA from 1 species